rnacentral:rRNA from 1 species
GACGUAGGGUGCAAGCGUUGUCCGGAUUUACUGGGCGUAAAGAGCGCGUAGGCGGUCUGUUAAGUGCACGAGUGAAAUCCCGGGGCUCACCUCCGGAACUGCUCUGCAUACUGGCAGACUUGGAGGGUCGGAGAGGUUUGUGGGAAUUCCUGGUGUAGCGGUGAAAUGCGUUGAUAUCAGGAGGAACACCCAUGGCGAAGGCAGCAAACUGGCCGGCAUCUGACGCUGAGGCGCGAAAGCGUGGGUAGCAAACAGG